CCCAAGUCAUAAUUUCCUCCAUAUACCCAUCACAAGAUCCUCUGCUCCAUGAACUUUUAUAAAGAAGCGCACAACUGAUAAAACGGUUUGUGCAGCAACUCAAUAACUACUGUUGAUAUUUUGAAGUCCACAUAUCCCUAUACAAAUGUCCACAAAAGAUAUCUGAAAUGCACUGAAGUCAAAACUUCCUCACAUAUACCAAUCAAAAGAUUGUAUGCGGCAUUAACUUCUCUAAAGUGUACAACUGAUUAAAAAAGAAAUAGUGACAACAACAUUCUUCUGAACUAUCAAUUCAAAAAAUGUUCUGAAAAAACUUUAAACCUAUGCAGGCAGUCAAUAGUCAAUUGUUAUUUUACAACUGAAUACAUAAUCUCCACAGUAACAAUGUUGAAUGGAUGGCUUGUAUUACAUUUGGCCUAUGUAUAGUUACUUUAAUAUGUGCCAGCCAAAAGAGGAUGGCCUGCCCCUGCUGAGUCUGGUUCCUCUCAAGGUUUCUUCCUUUGCCACUACGCUGAUUAUGCUCCAGCCCUUGGUCCAUGAUGUUCCACACUGCUAUCUAUGGGAGUUUUUCCUUGCCACUGUUGCCUUUUUGGCUUGC